GAGGCCCGAUGUGUCAUUCCU
rnacentral:miRNA from 1 species